GACGAACGCUGGCGGCGUGCUUAACACAUGCAAGUCGAACGGAAAGGCCCUGCUUUUGUGGGGUGCUCGAGUGGCGAACGGGUGAGUAACACGUGAGUAACCUGCCCUUGACUUUGGGAUAACUUCAGGAAACUGGGGCUAAUACCGGAUAGGAGCUCCUGCUGCAUGGUGGGGGUUGGAAAGUUUCGGCGGUUGGGGAUGGACUCGCGGCUUAUCAGCUUGUUGGUGGGGUAGUGGCUUACCAAGGCUUUGACGGGUAGCCGGCCUGAGAGGGUGACCGGCCACAUUGGGACUGAGAUACGGCCCAGACUCCUACGGGAGGCAGCAGUGGGGAAUAUUGCACAAUGGGCGGAAGCCUGAUGCAGCAACGCCGUGUGCGGGAUAACGGCCUUCGGGUUGUAAACCGCUUUCGCCUGUGACGAAGCGUGAGUGACGGUAAUGGGUAAAGAAGCACCGGCUAACUACGUG
rnacentral:rRNA from 1 species